rnacentral:rRNA from 1 species
UACGAGGGAUGCAAGCGUUAUCCGGAAUUAUUGGGCGUAAAGCGUUUGUAGGCGGGCGAGUGUGUUUAAUGUUAAAUCUUAAAGCUCAACUUUGAAAUUGCGUUAAAAACUGCUUGUCUUGAGUAUGGUAGGGGUAAAGGGAAUUCCCAGUGUAGCGGUGAAAUGCGUAGAUAUUGGGAAGAACACUAAACAGCGAAGGCACUUUACUAGGCUAAUACUGACGCUGAGAAACGAAAGGUAAGGUAGCGAAACGGAUUAGAUACCCGUGUAGUCUUACCCGUAAACUAUGGACACUAAACGGUAAAUUUUUAAUUUACUGUUAAAGCUAACGCGUUAAGUGUCCCGCCUGGGGAGUAUGCUUGCAAAAGUGAAACUCAAAGGAAUUGACGGGGGCCCGCACAAGCGGUGGAGCAUGUGGUUUAAUUCGACGGUACACGAAGAACCUUACCAGGAUUUGACAUGCUAGAUAGUUGCUUGAAAGAGUAACGUGCCGUAAGGAAUCUAGACACAGGUGGUGCAUGGCUGUCGUCAGUUCGUGUUGUGAAAUGUUGGGUUAAGUCCCGCAACGAACGCAACCCUUGUCUUUAGUUAUUUUCUAAAGAGACUGCCUGUAAUAAACAGGAGGAAGGUAAGGAUGAGGUCAAGUCAUCAUGCCCCUUAUGUCCUGGGCUACACACGUGCUACAAUGGGAAAGACAAUGAGCUGCAAAUCUGUAAAUUUAAGCAAAUCUCUUAAACUUUCUCGUAGUUCGGAUUGUGGGCUGCAACUCGCCCACAUGAAGUUGGAAUCGCUAGUAAUCGCCAGUCAGCUAUAUGGCGGUGAAUCCGUUCCCGCGCCU